GUAGGAGGCGAGCGUUAUCCGGAUUUAUUGGGCGUAAAGGCGUCUAGGCGGUGUCCUAAGUUGAGCGUGAAAUCUCCCGGCUUAACUGGGAGGGACUAUUCGAUACUGUUGGGCUAGAGGGCAGCAAGGGGAGGUGGAAUUCCCGGUGGGGUGGUGAAAUGCGUAGAUAUCGGGAGGAACACCAGUGGCGAAGGCGGCCUCCUGGGCUGUUGCUGACGCUGAGGCCCGAAAGCGUGGGGAGCAAACAGGAUUAGAUACCCUGGUAGUCCACGCCAUAAACUAUGGACACUAGGUAUAGGGAGUAUCGACCCUCUCUGUGCCGAAGCUAACGCGUUAAGUGUCCCACCUGGGGACUACGGCCGCAAGGCUA
rnacentral:rRNA from 1 species